GGCCGGUAUGAAUGGCAUCACGAGGGCCCCCCUGUCUUAAGAGGACUCUCCAUGAAAUUGAAUUCGUAGUGAAGAUGCUACGUCCAUAUUGUAAGACGAAAAGUCCCCAUUGAGCUUUACUAAAGACUUAUAUGGCUCGAAUAACUUAAAUAAAAAGUUUAGAUAAUGUGGGAUCUGUUUUUGGUUAAUGAGACACCACUCUUUUAUUUUAAGAGAACUAACCUUAUAGGGAGAAUGUAAGUUAGAUAGUUUGGUUGGGGCGACCACCUUUUAAAAGGUAACGAAGGUGAGCUUAAGGUCCGUAGUUAA
rnacentral:rRNA from 1 species